UAAACAACUUGGAUAACACAAUGCUUUUUUACAAUGAGGUGGUCCUAGAUAGCCGUCUGGACACGGACCAGAAUUAGGCUCUGCAAAAAAGAGAGAACAGACAUACAUACACUGAUAAAAGGGAUAUUUUCAUUACAAAGGAAAAGCUUUACAAAAGCAGUUUGCAUCUUGUAAACGACAAUGGAUCUGUCACAUGUAAGUAUAUUAAAGAUUUUUGCAGAAAAUGCGAGCUAAAAACUAAUUAAUUUUUUUUUUUUUUUUCACGCAGCAUUUCAAAGGCUGAAAAACUAAGAAUGUCUUCACAAUGGUCCUCCUCAAACCACAAAGCAGCUUCUUAACGACUUAACAUCCGUGAACUUCCAAACAUCCCACGAAACAGCGAUUCGACACGCCAUCACAUGAUUUAUCGGACCCUUCGCUUUGUCGAAUAAUCUUUUUUGCUUUGCCAGGGUCUUUCCUUACAAAAUAUCAAAAUGAGUUCUCACGACGGGUACAUGCCAUGACUGUCGAUUAAAUAAAAAAUUUAAAAAAAAAAAAAAAAAAAA